GCGUGGCCUCUUCAGGUUGUGUGUGUGGUGGCCUGGCAUUCAAUCUGUGAGGUGGAUGCGUGUUGGAAGGACCCCUUUUGGUUUCUUUUUGCUCAGAGCUUUCUUUUAAUAAAUUCCGCUCUCCUCACCUUUCAAUGUGUCCGUAUGCCUAAUUUUUCCUGGUCCUGUGACAAGAACCUGAUUUUAGCUGAACUAAGGAGCGAAAGAUCCUGGAUCAUUUUGGUGACCCAUACUGGUACAUGAGGAAAGAGUUCAGUACAGACUGACACAAGAUUAUCUUAGCUCCUAUUCCAGAUUCUCAGAGUAUAGAUUCUGACUGGAUUACCCUGGUCCUUGAAGUAUACCUAGGAGAUGGAAUAACAUUGUAUAAGCAUCCACGUUGUCAUUAAGAGGAAAGAGUUUCCAUUAAAACAGCAGGUCACAAAACCCUCCUGUGAGAGGAACCCUCUGUGGAAGAACAGAAUAUGUCACCCCAAAAUAUGAAGAAUUGUUGAGCUGAAGAUGAUUAAGAAGAAGCGGAUGCAGGAAAGCUCUCUGCUCUCCCUCUAUUUGCUUAAAAGCAGGAUAAACACUUACAAAGACUAAAGACGCCACAAUCAAGAACUCAGAAGGGUAGAAGAAAAAGAUAGUUUCCCUUCCCUACACAGGUGUUGAUCCCUUCAUAAAUAUUAUGCAUGCUAAGCCCUAUCUCAAGGUCUACAUCCAGGAGAACCCAACCUGCAACAUUAAGUUACUGACUGUGCAAGAACCCUUUGAUCACGUACCUUACAGACCAAGAUAAGUGAGGAUGCCCAUGUAUAACCUGCUGUCUUUCUGGUCUCUUAUGUUUUUGUACCAGAAAGGGACAACUUUUUGGGUAACCAUAGGUCUCUAGUAUAUCUGUGAUUACAAUAAAGAUUUUUGAUAUACCAAAACUGAUGAACCAAAAUUCCACUGAAAUAGCGAGUAAAUGGAGUUCUUUUAUCCUUUGCAGUAUACCAGGGUGAACUUUUUACAUGAUUUCUUGCUCCAAAGGGAGAAGUGUUAUGACAAAGUACAUUUAAGGACCCUAACUGAUCACAGAAAAAAUAUUAAUGGCAUUGGGAAAAAAAUGCAGACUAAUGAAUCCACUACUAAAUUUUAUCUAUCUUGUAGCUCUAAAAUUGCACUGUUUAGAAUACACUAUGGUAGCCACUAGACAUAUGGCUACUUGAACUUGAAUUGGUUAAAAUCAAAAUUAAGAAUUUAAUUUCUCACUCACAUUAGCCACAUUUCAAGUGCUCAACAGACACAUGUGGCUAGUGUCUACCAUAUUGGACAGCAUAGAUUUAAAGCACAUUUCCAUCAUUGCAACACUGCAAUAUGGAGGAUGUAUCCUCAAUACAUUGAUAUUGCCCCCUCAAAAUUCAUAACCCCUAGAUAUCUUAUCUCUGUAUGUGAGGAUAGUGUAUUAACUUGCACCUGGACUGAGAUAGAUAAAUGCUUAUCUCCAGAGAUGUCUGAAAGUCUGGUACUGACCCUUGUCUAAGAUAAGGAUGGAAUGUGCUGGUUAAUGAUUUAUACUGUGCUAUACAAAGUCCAAAAUUCCUUUGGAGGUAUCCUCUGCUGGCUUGUCUACAUUGUUUAAGGAUGGAUAGGUUGAUGGUUUGCACCUGCUUUAAUCAUUUACACAUUCUGAUUUUAUUUGUGAUCAGUGGAGGAUAAAACCUUCAAUAAACUUGUGUCUUAGCUUCCUUGAUAUUAAGAUAUCUUGCACAUAUCUUAGAUUUUUAUAAUCUGAAUGCAAAGCACAUCCUUUGCAAUUGAGAAAGGACUCUGUGAGCUGCUCCUGGAUAUGUGAAACCCCUCAGUGACUGACCGUAUUUUCUUUCUUCUGCUGUACUUGCCCUUAUUAAAGCCUUACAUGUGAAGUAAGUCCUUUCAAUUGUCUGACUCCGGGUGAUUGUUAUACCCUUUGAUAUAGUUUGGAUAUUUGUGCCUUCCAAAUCUCAUGUUGAAAUGCGAUCCCCUAUGUUGGAGGUGGAGCCUAGUAGGAGGUGUUAGGGUCACGGGAAUGGAUCCCUGAUGAAUGGCUUGGUACACAGUAAUGAGUGAGUUUGUGCUUUAUUAGUUACUGUGAGAUUUACUUGGUAAAAAGAGCCUGGCAACUCCUCCCUCUCCCUUGCUCCCUCUCUUGCCAUGUGACAUGCUUGCUCCAGCUGCACCUUUUGCCACAAUUGUAAGCUUUGUGAGUCCCUCAACAGAAGCUGAGCAAAUGCUGGCACCAUGCUUCUUGUACAGCCUACAGAACUGUGAACCAAAUAAAACUUUUAUUUUUAUAAAUUAUC
rnacentral:lncRNA from 10 species